rnacentral:rRNA from 1 species
CGCUGGCGGCGUGCCUAACACAUGCAAGUCGAGCGGAGCCAAUUAACAGAUCCCUUCGGGGUGACGUUGAGGAAGCUUAGCGGCGGACGGGUGAGUAACGCGUGAGUAACCUGCCCAUAAGAGAGGGAUAACACAGAGAAAUUUGUGCUAAUACCUCAUAUUGAGUUCUAAUCGCAUGAUUUAAACUUGAAAGAUUUAUCGCUUAUGGAUGGACUCGCGUCUGAUUAGCUAGUUGGUAGGGUAAAGGCCUACCAAGGCGACGAUCAGUAGCCGAUCUGAGAGGAUGACCGGCCACAUUGGGACUGAGACACGGUCCAAACUCCUACGGGAGGCAGCAGUGGGGAAUAUUGGGCAAUGGGCGAAAGCCUGACCCAGCAACGCCGCGUGAGGGAAGAAGGUUUUCGGAUUGUAAACCUCUGUCCUAAGGGAAGAAGGAAGUGACGGUACCUUAGGAGGAAGCCCCGGCUAACUACGUG